UUGAAAGGGAAACGAUUGAAGUCAGUCGUACCUAUGGGUAAUCAGCCUUUUGGGUGUGAUUUUGUGGAGCGUGAGGAGUUAAACGCCUUCAUGCCUGCAUAUUCGUGCACUUUGGGUGUACUUGCCCGUGUGUAAGUUAACAUCAAUUUUGAUGGUCAUAAAAUGAUCGGGGGAAUGUAGCUUCGGUCUCGUAUCGGAGUGUUAUAGAUCUUGGUAGAUGUGACGAUUGGGAUCGAGGAUUGCAACGAAUACCCUCUGGGCUAUCCGUCUGUCCUCUGAAAGUCGCUCGGGUGUCGAAAGCUUGCUUAUGGCUAUUCGAGUUGGCGGUCAACAGGUUAGAACGUGAUUAUAUUCGUUAAGGAUGUUGACGUA
rnacentral:rRNA from 1 species